rnacentral:rRNA from 1 species
GAAAGGUGAAAAGCACCCCGGAAGGGGAGUGAAAUAGAACCUGAAACCGUGUGCUUACAAGUAGUCAGAGCCCGUUAAUGGGUGAUGGCGUGCCUUUUGUAGAAUGAACCGGCGAGUUACGAUUUGAUGCAAGGUUAAGCAGUAAAUGUGGAGCCGUAGCGAAAGCGAGUCUGAAUAGGGCGUUUAGUAUUUGGUCGUAGACCCGAAACCAGGUGAUCUACCCUUGGUCAGGUUGAAGUUCAGGUAACACUGAAUGGAGGACCGAACCGACUUACGUUGAAAAGUGAGCGGAUGAACUGAGGGUAGCGGAGAAAUUCCAAUCGAACCUGGAGAUAGCUGGUUCUCUCCGAAAUAGCUUUAGGGCUAGCCUCAAGUGAUGAUNAACCCUUAAGCUUAGUUGCCAUCAUUAAGUUGGGCACUCUAAGUUGACUGCCGGUGACAAACCGGAGGAAGGUGGGGAUGACGUCAAAUCAUCAUGCCCCUUAUGAUUUGGGCUACACACGUGCUACAAUGGACAAUACAAAGGGCAGCGAAACCGCGAGGUCAAGCAAAUCCCAUAAAGUUGUUCUCAGUUCGGAUUGUAGUCUGCAACUCGACUACAUGAAGCUGGAAUCGCUAGUAAUCGUAGAUCAGCAUGCUACGGUGAAUACGUUCCCGGGUCUUGUACACACCGCCCGUCACACCACGAGAGUUUGUAACACCCGAAGCCGGUGGAGUAACCUUUUAGGAGCUAGCCGUCGAAGGUGGGACAAAUGAUUGGGGUGAAGUCGUAACAAGGUAGCCGUAUCGGAAGGUGCGGCUG